UGCAGAGUUAGUACAGAGUCAGCCAGAGGUGAGUGAAACUUCUCUUUUCAGAACUAAACUGCUUUGAGCAUAUGGCAUGCAUCAUAAGAGUAUAGUAGGGUGUUUGCAUUAGUUUCACGAAGUUGACGCAUUGCAUAAUACGAUGUGUAUGAGGCUGUGGAUAGACCAAGGCGACUCCAAUAGCCCAAACUCUGUUAUAAGACCUGGCCGGGCCAGGCAGCCAUCUGUAGGUAAGACCUGACUAGAUCAGGCAGCAGAGAUAGUAAGACCUGGCUAGGCCAGGCAGGCAGAGUGGUAAGACCUGGCCGGGCCAGGCAGAUUGAGGUUGUAAGACCUGGCUAGGCCAGGCAUCCUUUGAGUGGGAUUGUUGGUGGUCAUGUCUGAUCCCUGAGAUGAUGUGCUGUAGUGCAUUCCAUGAGAUCAUGUUUUCAACUUAUGGUCUAUAUAGUUCUGCUCAUUGGGCUUGUAUAGCUCAUCCCUCUCCCCUAUCCCCCAGGUUUGCAGGUUCAGAGUUCAGAGGGAGUCCAGCAGGGUUUGCAAGAAGAAGAGUUAUGUAAUAGCUAGUGUGGACAUGUACAUGUAAAGAGAUAAUGUAUAGUAUGUAGCUUUGUGCUUGACUUAUAAGAGUUGUA
rnacentral:lncRNA from 1 species